UACGGAGGAUGCAAGCGUUAUCCGGAUUCAUUGGGUUUAAAGGGUGCGCAGGCGGAACGAUAAGUCAGUGGUGAAAUCCUACGGCUCAACCGUAGAACUGCCAUUGAUACUGCCGUUCUUGAGUACAGUUGAAGUGGGCGGAAUGUGUCAUGUAGCGGUGAAAUGCUUAGAUAUGACACAGAACACCGAUCGCGAAGGCAGCUCACUAAGCUGAAACUGACGCUCAGGCACGAAAGCGUGGGGAGCAAACAGG
rnacentral:rRNA from 1 species